rnacentral:hammerhead_ribozyme from 1 species
GCACUGCUGAGGAGUCCCAUACUAAGACUAAACGACCGUCCAGUGC